GUUCCUGUAGUUGAAAUACACAGCGGCGGGUUUUCAGGCCGCAGGUCUUGGAAAAAAUCCAAGCAGGAAUA
rnacentral:tRNA from 1 species